UGGAAACAUUUCCAACGAAUCUGCCAAUUCGUUGGAAAUCUCCAACGAAUUGUGGAUUCGUUGCGAAUAUCCAACAAAUAAUAUUUUUGAUGGAAAUUUGUUGGAAGAUCCCUAAUUACAUAUCCUUACCCGACCCAAUUUCUUCUCCUCACAUCUUCUCUUGACCUAAUUUUCCUUACGGCAGCUGCGGCAAUUUUUUCACCUUCUCUGGACUGGUUUGGAUUUGACGUGGCUGGGAGAGACUUUCGAUUUUAUUUACCUUUGUUAGGCAACAUGCAGAAUGAAAGAAGUUGGAUGUAUAAUAAAAAUUUACCUGACCGUGGGGGUUUAACUGAUGAGUUUAUUACUGGGUUGAGACAGUUUUUAAAUUUUGCAUCUAGUAAUGUUGAGUUUAUGGAUGGUAAUCAGAUACGAUGUCCAUGCAGAAAGUGUCAUAAUGGAAAAUUUUUACCAUCUAAUAAAGUUUCAGAGCAUCUUUGUAGAUU